GCAGAGACACGAACAGCUCCCUGGGAGACAUGGCUGGGAAAGGAUGAGUUGAGUCCACCGUGUUUUCCUCCUCCUCCUCCUCCUCCUCGUGACUCCCAAACUCUACUGGUGAUAGUCCUUUGUGGAAGCUUUUGAUUGAUUUGACUGGGAGAAGGCUCUUUCUUAAAA
rnacentral:lncRNA from 1 species